rnacentral:rRNA from 1 species
AUACGUAGGGGGCGAGCGUUGUCCGGAUUUAUUGGGCGUAAAGGAUUCGCAGGCGGCCUUUUAAGUCAGAUGUGAAAGAUCACGGCUCAACCGUGGUAAGCAUUUGAAACUGGAAGGCUUGAGUUAAGGAGAGGAAAGUGGAAUUCCUAGUGUAGCGGUGAAAUGCGUAGAUAUUAGGAGGAAUACCAGUGGCGAAGGCGACUUUCUGGACUUAUACUGACGCUGAGGAACGAAAGCGUGGGGAGCAAACAGGAGUAGAUACCCUGGUAGUCCACGCCGUAAACGAUGAGUGCUAGGUGUCGGGGGUCAAACCUCGGUGCCGGAGCUAACGCAUUAAGCACUCCGCCUGGGGAGUACGUACGCAAGUAUGAA